AGAGUUUGAUCCUGGCUCAGAAUGAACGCUGGCGGCAUGCCUUACACAUGCAAGUCGAACGGCAGCACGGAGCUUGCUCUGGUGGCGAGUGGCGAACGGGUGAGUAAUAUAUCGGAACGUACCCUAGAGUGGGGGAUAACGUAGCGAAAGUUACGCUAAUACCGCAUACGAUCUAAGGAUGAAAGUGGGGGAUCGCAAGACCUCAUGCUCGUGGAGCGGCCGAUAUCUGAUUAGCUAGUUGGUAGGGUAAAAGCCUACCAAGGCAUCGAUCAGUAGCUGGUCUGAGAGGACGACCAGCCACACUGGAACUGAGACACGGUCCAGACUCCUACGGGAGGCAGCAGUGGGGAAUUUUGGACAAUGGGCGAAAGCCUGAUCCAGCAAUGCCGCGUGAGUGAAGAAGGCCUUCGGGUUGUAAAGCUCUUUUGUCAGGGAAGAAACGGUGAGAGCUAAUAUCUUUUGCUAAUGACGGUACCUGAAGAAUAAGCACCGGCUAACUACGUGCCAGCAGCCGCGGUAAUACGUAGGGUGCAAGCGUUAAUCGGAAUUACUGGGCGUAAAGCGUGCGCAGGCGGUUUUGUAAGUCUGAUGUGAAAUCCCCGGGCUCAACCUGGGAAUUGCAUUGGAGACUGCAAGGCUAGAAUCUGGCAGAGGGGGGUAGAAUUCCACGUGUAGCAGUGAAAUGCGUAGAUAUGUGGAGGAACACCGAUGGCGAAGGCAGCCCCCUGGGUCAAGAUUGACGCUCAUGCACGAAAGCGUGGGGAGCAAACAGGAUUAGAUACCCUGGUAGUCCACGCCCUAAACGAUGUCUACUAGUUGUCGGGUCUUAAUUGACUUGGUAACGCAGCUAACGCGUGAAGUAGACCGCCUGGGGAGUACGGUCGCAAGAUUAAAACUCAAAGGAAUUGACGGGGACCCGCACAAGCGGUGGAUGAUGUGGAUUAAUUCGAUGCAACGCGAAAAACCUUACCUACCCUUGACAUG
rnacentral:rRNA from 1 species